CCCACUGAGCCAUCUCACCAGCCCUCAAGAAAUCUUAAUAAAAGUAAAUCCUGGGCUGGAGAGAUGGCUCAGUGGU
rfam:Mus musculus chromosome 17, GRC primary reference assembly.